UCAAAUAUGUACUUGGCAUAUACAGCACAGUUUAAUUCAUAACAUAUACAACAGUUUAAUUGUGUUCUUCCUCCUAACAUGUGUGGGUCAGGCUGACUUCUGAAACACUCCUGCUUUAGGAGGAAAAGCUCAGCUGCACUCGGACAGUUUUUCGCUGGGACUCAGAAUAAUGCUGCUUUGGACCACUCUGUACAAGGUAUCUGAUAGUUGAAAACCAGGUGACUGACCCACUUGCUUUGAGCAGUUUCAUGGGUGCUUUCGUAAUUGGUAUUUGGUGUUCCUCUUAUUCAGAGACCUGUGACAACUUUGCUUGGUGCACUGUUCCAAAGGCUCUGCAGUAAAUGGUUGGCUUGCCUGUAACUCCCCCCCCCCCAGUGGAUGUGGUGGUGUAAGGAGUGUUCAGUAGUCGUUUCAAGCUGAUGAUGAAGCCUUCCAAGGAUCCUUUGAGGACACCAUGGUAGGAAUAGUACAUUGUCAGACCAGGAGAGGCCACCAGUAAACCAGAGGACAUCGGGGUUGUCCUUGAAGGCCAGAUGGUACUGCAGGAUCUGGACAAUGUUACUUUUGGUGUUGCAGUGUUGUUGGGCUUAAUGUAUGCUUUGAACCUCAGCUGCCCCACUGAACUGAAGUAUACCUUUGAAGUGCUCCAGAAAGUUGUGAUGGAGCUCGACAGUGACACUCUCUAAGAAAGCCCAAGUUCUUAAAAAAAAACUGUAUCAGUGAGCUGUUGCCAGAUAUGACGUGGGUGAGACAACAGUUCACCGUGUUUGCUCCUUGGGAUACAGAACAUUGUUGCUCUUUGGUUGCAUUGAUGAUGCUUUGUGCACUGACAGAACUCACUUGCACUGCCUUUAUAUUUGCUACAUCAUAUUUAGUUUAAAAAUGGGGAGCCUUGC